CUCUGUCAUGUCUCAUAAAGCCGCAGUCGAAUUGGCCCGGUUCAAUGAACCUUCUUCCUUUUUUUGCCUUUCCGCUCUUGGGGCGGUGAGAUUGGAAUGAAUCCGUUUUCCUGCUCUCUUCUGGCAGAGGCUCCCGAAUGGUUGUUGUGGGGCGGGGCCAAUCUGCGGGUUGGGGAUGGACUACCCGAGGCUUUUGGCGGGUCUGGAUUUGCGUGCUUCUCAAUGCUUUUUGCUUGAGGUCUGGGUUAUGCCGGUCUUUGAUUUUUGCGGCUGUGAGAGUUUCAGUUACUUUAAAGAUGUUGAUAUCCAAAUUCAAUGCCAUUCAGAGCAACACCCUCUCUCAGCUUCAUAAGUCUGGACUUGCUUUGCCCGAGAAAUUGAAGAAGGGUGACAAGUUAACCAAAGCAAUACUGGCUUUUGCCUUGCCCUGCUGGCUGCUGCUGAUUCAACCAGUACAAGGGGGUUCCAAAACCCCAACUUUACAGUAUGGCACAUUUGGGAGGAGGAAUAAUGCUCCUUCGACACACCCUCCACCUGUUAAUGACCCGACAAGGGGUUGCAAUGCCGCAAACGGUUGUCGCCAGUUUACUCUGAGUCUUGAAAACCUCGGAGGAACUCUAGUUGAAGCUGUUGGCAAUGUUACAGUGGCGGAGGGAACUUUGAACCACAGAGAGCCAGGUACCGAGGCCAUAGCUGCUGGGAUUGCCACUUGGUUCUUGAACAAGACUGAGUCCAAUAGCAAUACAUAUGGCCGAUUAAGCAUUUCACAGGACCCAAUUUCCAGUGCUGCAGUGUCAUCACAAAUGUUGCAGCUACAGGCUGUUUCUCGAGGGAUUGCUCGUAUGGGACUGCAAGUGUAUACAUCAAUGUCAACUGAAGAUAACUCCAAGAUACCUCCGGCAGAUGGAAACAUUGAAAUAAAAGUUAAUUCAACAUCGAACAUGGUGGACUUGAGGUUCUUCACUAGCCUUGAAAUCAGUCUUGGAGAAGCUGAUAUUAUACACGUCUUGGAAUCUGCUAAAACUGUUUUACAGUUCACUCGACACUGAAGCUUAGUUUAGCAUUGCUGUUGCUGUCGGGAAAAAUGUGUUGCGAGAGAAACCAGUGAAAAACUAUUGCACUUUCUUGAAGUUGCGACUUCAAUCUACUGUUUUUGAAGUCACGACACUGCAUUAUUGAAGCCUUGACGCCAAGCAUCCGCCGUUGAUGUCGCGGUUGGAGCCUUCCAUGGUUGCGAUGCCAACUCGAUGAACUUUGAAAAUUUUGCAUUUUGGUUCUCAAAUGGUCUGGGGUUAAGGAAAGAGUUUUGGUUGAAUUACGUUGGCUUGAAUUACAUGAGUCUAUCCAGGCCCAAGACAAUACGAGUCAGGCCAGACUCUUAAAGAUAGAUCCAAGUUUUGCUCAAGUGUUCUUUUUUUUUUUCCCAAAUAAAUUAAAGCUUAAAUUCCAUCAAAGUUACUACACUAUUAGUAAGUUCACGUUUUGGUCACUUAACUUCAAAAUUUUAUGAAAUGGUCAAAGUUGUUAUUGAAAUCAUUGGGUUGUUAAAAUUGUUGUUGUAUGA